AUGGUGAACAAAGAAUAAAACUGAGUUCUCUUACUUAAUUAAACAAAAUGAACAUAACAAAAAUGAGAGUAUUAAUCUUUCAACAAUUUGGCACUAUUGUCAAGACGAUUUGUUGAGAGGAGAAAACUCCCAAUAAAACACCGAGAAACACGCUUUCAACAACCAUCACAAGAAGAGCAUAUUCAUUCUGAUUUACCUAAAGAAUGUAUGAUGUAAAAUAAUGAAAGAGGCGAAGAGAUAUGGUGAACCAAAUGGAACGGUCAAUGAGUCUAACACCAAAUAGAAUCAUGCACUGCAAAAACAAACAUAAUAUAUUAGCACAAGAAACAAAGCAAUAACAACAUCCUUAUUAAUAGAAGGGGCAGGGGAUCAAUAACCAAAACCCUUUAUUGUUGAUUUUGGCUUUGGCCAACACCCACAAGCCAUUACCAGGUCUGCACUUGAACCUAAAAAUCCAGCAUUAACCCAAAUGAGAAAACAGCCAAGAUAACAACAGCUAGAGAGAGAGGAUUGGCAGCAAACGAAGACAAUGACAAUAACGUGAUUUGUAGAAUCCUCACCAGGAAGAUAUGCAUAGAAUUGUUCUUGAAUGGACACAUUAAACUAGAGGAAUCAGUCACAAAAGUUCUUACUAAUGUACAUACAAUGGAUACAAUUAAUACUUCUAGCAUACAAACACCUCUUUGAAGAUAGUUAUAACCAUGAUUCCCUGUAUAAGGCAGAUGGUAGUUCAAAAGAAAAGCAGCAAACCAGAACACAUAUUCUCUUUUGGUUACACUUACACUCAAGUAAAUGAUAAUUAUUCCAAAUCAAUCAGACCAACCAGCCGUGAGUUACAUAAUAAAAGACAGUUGUCAUUCUACUCCAAUUAUGGUCAUCAUUGGCAAAUGAAAAUCCUCUCAAACAGUUACACAGGCUCAUAAUCAGCAUGAAUGGAGUAAUUAUUUGAGUAAUUUCGGAGGGGGCAAUCAGUGAGACUAAGUAUACCAGCCAAGAAUUUCAAAAGGGCAGUAAGGCAUCCAGGAGUUAUUCAGUUAUGCUUUCCUCAUGAAUGGCAAUAUCAGUGAGUAAAAAGGGAUAAACCAGAGCAAUUAAACAGAGGCAAAUAUUAUGCUUUCAGUUACACAAUCAGCCUAAAUGGCAACUUUAAUGCAUUGAUUCAGAAAACCAAUAAGUCAUGGCAUGUUACACAUUGUUGGUAAGUCAAAAAGUUUUCACAAACCAGCCAAUAACCUACAACCAUCUAUAAAAGGCAUGUCUCAAUUGGUGCACAAGGGAGCAGGAGAAAAAGUAAGCAGAGAAAAAGCAUACUGAUAUCACCCAUAUACACUUAACAAAGCAGAGAGCAUAAUCCAUACACAUAUAUCCAACAAGCAAUCAUAGAUAUUGCCUGCAUACCUACAAAUAUAGCAAAGGGAUACACACAGAUACAGAACAUCAAAGUAUACAUAGUUCUCAGCAGGGUAAAAAGGGGCUCCGUGUCAGACAAUUACAAAGUAAAGGUCCAAAGGAUAAAGGAAUAGACCUUCAUACAAUCAUCCUACUACAUCCCAGUGUCAGCAAUCUUAAAUAGGUACUAUAUUACCCUUCUCAAAUGUUAUUCUGAAAUGCUAAAUGAUUUAUAAUCGUAGGAAGUGAGUCAUUAUCAUAACACAUAAUGCUUUUAAAAAAUUGUUUAAUCUUAACCCUGUAAUUCAUGGUUUGUAAAUCCUUAUGUACGUUGUUUUGUUUUCCAAUGCUAUUCAUGGCAUAAACAUUAGGAACAUGUGUUACUCAUUAACAUGGGUAAGCCUGGUAUUACGAAAUAAAAAAAACAGGGACCUUUUGCAAUAUUUUCUCUUCAGCAAGAAAACACAUCAUCCAUUAACUGCACACUAAGUCCUUUUUUAUUUAAGCAAUCUGUAAUAUGAAAGGUAAAACACGACAACAUAAAAUAAGUAGAUCAAACACAACAACACGCUGUUAAGAACUUUGAGUUCAAUUCACAAAUCAGUAUAAACAGUAAAUAGAAAAAAAAAAAAACAUCUUGCAUUCAAGGGAUAUGGUACUUUACCUGUCCUUGGUGUUGCCGUGGUCGCGGUGGUAUACCACCGAGGAUGAUAAAGGAUGGUGGCCCCGAGGCUUCGCCAUCAUCGUGUCUCCCUAACCAUCCCAGUUCCAACCGUGGAUGAACCCUCUUCGUCGCCUUCCUAAGUCGCCGUUGCUGGAGAAGAACCCGCCACCGAGAGAAGAAAAACGCGUGAAGAGGAGAUGGUGCAGCGUCUCACCACCAUCGGCCCCGUCUCACCACCACCGCGGACCACUGCGAGCCGCCCCAAUGCUUCGAGCCGCCAUGAAUGGGGACCCCCGAGCCACCGUCACCACCACCGGAGAUGGAGCUAGAAAGGAAAUGGAGUUGGGGAUUAGGGAUUUCAAUUUUUUCCCUUAUCCUGCGUGAACAUGGGGUUAAGGGGAUAACACCCCUCAAUUACCCCUUUUGGUUUUACACGAGGC
rnacentral:lncRNA from 1 species